GCAUUCUUAACUCAAUUGGAAGAGUAUCAUUUUUCUAAAGUGCCUGUUAAAGGUUCGAGUCCUUUAGAAUGUA
rnacentral:tRNA from 1 species